rnacentral:rRNA from 1 species
AGUUUGAUCCUGGCUCAGAUUGAACGCUGGCGGCAUGCCUAACACAUGCAAGUCGAACGGUAACAGAACUAGCUUGCUAGUUGCUGACGAGUGGCGGACGGGUGAGUAAUAUAUAGGGAUCUGCCUAAUAGUGGGGGACAACGUGUGGAAACGCACGCUAAUACCGCAUACGCUCUACGGAGGAAAGUGGGGGCUCUUCGGACCUCAUGCUAUUAGAUGAACCUAUAUCGGAUUAGCUUGUUGGUGAGGUAAUGGCUCACCAAGGCGACGAUCCGUAGCUGGUUUGAGAGAAUGAUCAGCCACACUGGGACUGAGACACGGCCCAGACUCCUACGGGAGGCAGCAGUGGGGAAUAUUGCACAAUGGACGAAAGUCUGAUGCAGCAAUGCCGCGUGUGUGAAGAAGGCCUUCGGGUUGUAAAGCACUUUCAGGUGUGAGGAAAAGCAGUCUAUUAAUACUAGACUGCCGUGACGUUAACAUCAGAAGAAGGACCGGCUAACUCCGUGCCAGCAGCCGCGGUAAUACGGAGGGUCCAAGCGUUAAUCGGAAUUACUGGGCGUAAAGCGCGCGUAGGCGGAUAUUUAAGUCAGAUGUGAAAUCCCUGGGCUCAACCUAGGAACUGCAUUUGAAACUGGCUAUCUAGAGUAUGGUAGAGGUGAGUGGAAUUUCAGGUGUAGCGGUGAAAUGCGUAGAGAUCUGAAGGAACAUCAGUGGCGAAGGCGACUCACUGGGCCAUUACUGACGCUGAGGUGCGAAAGCGUGGGUAGCAAACAGGAUUAGAUACCCUGGUAGUCCACGCCCUAAACGAUGUCAACUAGGUGUGUGAGAGUCUAACUCUUGCGUAUCGAAGCUAACGCGAUAAGUUGACCGCCUGGGGAGUACGGUCGCAAGACUAAAACUCAAAUGAAUUGACGGGGGCCCGCACAAGCGGUGGAGCAUGUGGUUUAAUUCGAUGCAACGCGAAGAACCUUACCUGGCCUUGACAUGUACGGAAGAUUAGAGAGAUCUGAUUGUGCCUUCGGGAACCGUAACACAGGUGCUGCAUGGCUGUCGUCAGCUCGUG